UAUCAGGAAUAAAACAUAAGAAAACAUUCUACCAUUCAUAUUUUGUGUGUGUUUCCUGAAUGCUAUUACUGUUACAUUGGGGCUCUAGUGCGGCGAACAUGGCAGAGAAUAGAGAAGCAAAUAGAACACACUCCGAGAUCAGAAAAUACGGUGGAUGUCUUGCUAAAGCAGAAUCGGGAGUGCUGGAAGAAACCUCCAUCAAAAUGGCCAAGCAUCUAGCUCCGGUGGCGACAAUACGAACCACCCACCAUUUCAGGGUUCAAGAGGAUUGAGAGAAAGGCAAGGAGAGUUCCAUGGUUCCUUCGAGAAAAUGCACUAAGAGGCUCGAUUCAACGGAUCAGAGGCUGCCUACAAAGGAUUGAUGCUACAAAAGGGGUUGAUUGAGGGGCGCGGACAAAAUCCUUUGUUAAAGCUGGUGUGCAGUCACUCGAAGAGGAGCUGGGUUUUUCUUUCACUUCCUUUUUCCUUCCUUUAGUUUUUCUAUAAAAAAGGUUGUAUAAUAGUUUUUCUAUGGGGUUAGUUUUGGUUACUUUAGGUUAUUUUCAGUUUGAGGGUGAUCAGGAGAUGAUAGUUUUGGUUAAAUCACAAGUUAGCUGAAGCUUCUUCUAGCUUUUCUCCCUGUACUAACGCAUUUUUUUAUCCUGUUUGCAAUGCUUUUAGAUUCAUAGUUGUUGAGUUAGACUCAGGUGACAGCUUU